CUGUAAGUUCUGGCUGCAUAUUUCCAUUAUUCUUUUGAAAAGCUUUCUCGUUUUGCCGUGAUUGAAUCUAUAUAUGAUCAGUCAUAUAACUUUUUGAAUGAAAUCCAUGUCUUCUCUUCCUGCUUGCUUUACACACAUCUCCAUUAGUUGGACUCCAUUUUGAAGGACAACCACAUGCAUUACUAGCAAUACAUUUGUGAUUUGUCAUUAAUAUGUUGGCUGUAAUGUUCUUUCAUUUGCUUGAUUGUCUAUUCGAAUGAGUGCUUAUUUCUUGUUUGAUGGCAAUAAAAAGACAGUUGCAGGCAUGUCUCAAAGAUUUCCUACUCCAUCAAUUAAUUUGUUGUCAUUUUUGCUUCUUUUCCCUUUUGACAUCCCAAUAGAUAGAAGUCAGCCCAAAAAUUGUACUGUGUUACAUCCAGUCUUUGCCCUGUCAUGCUGUAAAUGAUUAUUGUAUGUCAGCUCCUGCAUAGUAAGAUACUUUGUUAAUUGGUACUAUUAACUUCUGGCCUACGUGAAAUGAAGCUUAUGCAUGUUAAUAUUAGAACUGAACCUGUUUGUGGUUUGGGCUUUUCAUUCGCAUUGUGAAAAUAGGAAAUGUGCUGUAAUCAUUCUUUUAACCUAAUUUUCUGAUUUUUCUAAUAACAAACUCGUCUUCUUCCUUGCUAAUAGCUGAGUAUAAUUUCUACGUCCAUCAGUCUUUCAGAGCCUCACAUCUUAACUCAUUUCAGGG
rnacentral:lncRNA from 1 species